rnacentral:misc_RNA from 1 species
GAUGAAGAACGCAGCGAAAUGCGAUACGUAAUGUGAAUUGCAAAUUCAGUGAAUCAUCGAGUCUUUGAACGCACAUUGCGCCCCCUGGUAUUCCGGGGGGCAUGCCUGUCCGAGCGUCAUUGCUGCCCUCAAGCACGGCUUGUGUGUUGGGCCCCGUCCUCCGAUCCCGGGGGACGGGCCCGAAAGGCAGCGGCGGCACCGCGUCCGGUCCUCGAGCGUAUGGGGCUUUGUCACCCGCUCUGUAGGCCCGGCCGGCGCUUGCCGAUCAACCCAAAUUUUUUAUCCAGGUUGACCUCGGAUCAGGUAGGGAUACCCGCUGAACUUAAACAUAUCAAUAAGCGGAGGA